GAUGAACGCUGGCGGCGUGCCUAAUACAUGCAAGUCGAGCGAAUGGAUUAAGAGCUUGCUCUUAUGAAGUUAGCGGCGGACGGGUGAGUAACACGUGGGUAACCUGCCCAUAAGACUGGGAUAACUCCGGGAAACCGGGGCUAAUACCGGAUAACAUUUUGAACCGCAUGGUUCGAAAUUGAAAGGCGGCUUCGGCUGUCACUUAUGGAUGGACCCGCGUCGCAUUAGCUAGUUGGUGAGGUAACGGCUCACCAAGGCAACGAUGGGUAGCCGACCUGAGAGGGGGAUCGGCCACACUGGGACUGAGACACGGCCCAUACUCCUACGGGAGGCAGCAGUAGGGAAUCUUCCGCAAUGGACGAAAGUCUGACGGAGCAACGCCGCGUGAGUGAUGAAGGCUUUCGGGUCGUAAAACUCUGUUGUUAGGGAAGAGCAAGUGCUAGUUGAAUAAGCUGGCACCUUGACGGUACCUAACCAGAAAGCCACGGCUAACUACGUGCCAGCAGCCGCCGUAA
rnacentral:rRNA from 1 species